CGCCCGUCGCUCCUACCGAUUGGGUGUGCUGGUGAAGUGUUCGGACUGGCGGCGGGACACGGUUUCCGUUGCCCGUCGCCGGAAAGUUCAUUAAACCCUCCCACCUAGAGGAAGGAGAAGUCGUAACAAGGUUUCC
rnacentral:rRNA from 1 species